GCCUGGGGGACCCCUGGGCAGCCCGGUCGGCUCAGGUAAUGGGGACCGGGGGAGGGAGGGUCGGAGCCCGAGGAGGGGCAGGCUUCACGGUGGGCAAGGCCUAGGGAGGGUCGUGGGGGCUCGGGCUUCUAGGAGUUAAAACUGGACCCCUGUCUGCACAAGGGUCCGUUUCCUCUGUCCCACACUGUGCUAAGACGUCUUGGGUGACACCCAGAGGCUACUCACCCAGCACCGUGCCCUAGAGGCCGCCACUCUUGGAGGCAGGCUCUGAAAGAGUUAACCGAAUCACCGAGCACAAAGAACUAAGUGCUAUAUGGAGUUGUUUUCUUAGCAGGACACAAAUCUAGGAGCCAUUCCUCUGACUGGGAGGAGGGGGGUGUCGGAGAGAGGAUUCCCAGAAGAGAAGACAUCUGAGCUCCGGAGGAGGAGAAAUGGAGCACCACGCAGAGAAAACGGAAUAGACAAAUGUACUAGGGCGGGAAAGCCCACGGGCUGUAUUUGGGGAAAAACCGAAAUUAGCUAUAGUUAGGAGUUAGGCCUUUGGACGGAAAUGAAGGGAGAUGAGCCUCCAAAAUAAUAAUAAGGACCUCACUUACUGAGGACCUACUCUCUGUUCAAGUAAGAAGAAAAAAAAAGUAACUAAACUGGAUACAGCCCUUACCAAGUGCCAGACACUGUCCUCACCACUUUACAUACAUUAACUUAAUUAAUUAAUUAACUAAUCUAGGAAGAGAACUACUUGUAUUGCCCUUUAAAAUGUGCCAGGGACUCUGCACAUCAUCUUUCAGUUAGCCCAGUAAUACCCUGGGCUAACACUUAUCCUGUUUUAGAGAUGGGAAAACUAAAUCUGAGGGGGCAAGUAAUGUGUGCAAGGUCACACAGCUAAUGUCAGAGUCUGGAUUCAAGCCCACAUGUGUAUAAGUCCAGAGUCUGAUGCAGCAUACCUUAUUUUAUAGAUGGGUAACUGAUAACCAGAGGGAAGUGGCUUGCCCAAGAUCCCUUGGCAAGGUUUGGCAAAGCCUGGUUCUAGAAAUGAAGCCUCAGACCUCUUGUCAUCUGUUCCUUGACAGCACCUCUUUCUUCAGACCCAGGUUUGUACAACUCAACAAAAUACUCUGUAUUGGGAAGGUGAUGAGUAGGUAGGUCUAUCAAAACCAUUAGAUACCCAUGGGAUAAAUAAAGUAUAUGGUCUUGCCAUUGAUGUAUUUUUUAAGUUUAUUUAUUUAAUUAGUGAGUGAGAGAGAAUGAGAGCAGGGUAGGGGCAGAGAGAAAGAGGGAGAGAGAGAGAAUCCCAAGCAGGCUUUACACUGUCAGUGUGGAGCCCCACUCCAGACUUGAUCCCAUGAACUGAAAGGCGAGAUCAGGACCCGAGCCCAAAUCAAGAGUCAGAUGCUUAACUGACUGAGCCACCCAGGCACCCCAGCCAUUGAUGUAUUUAGAGGCUAUAAUCAUCUGCUUGAGCUGCCGUAACAAAAUACCUCGGACUGGGUGGAUUGACACUUUUUUCACAGUUCUGGGGGCUAGAAGUUCAAGAUAAAGAUGCUGGCUUGGUUGUUUUCCAUAAGAUCUUUCUUCCCAGCCUGUAGAAGGCCACCUUCUCACUGAGUCCUCACAUGGUGUCUUCUCUCCUUGUGUGAAGAGACCAAGCUCUUCUCUCUUCUCCUUCUUAUAAGGACACUAAUCCCAUCAGGUCAGAGCCCCAUCCUUAUGAUCUCACUUAAUCUUUAUUACUUCUUUAUAGGCCCUGUCUCCAAAGACAGUCACUCUGAUAGUCGGGCUUCAGCAUAUGAAUUUGACAGAGACACAGUUCAGUCCUUAAUAUUCUUUCCUUCGACCCCUCCAAAAUCCAUGUGCUCAUUGUACACAAAAUACAUUCAUACCAUCCCAACAAUCCCCAAAGUCUUAACCCAUUCAAGCAUCAGUUCCAAGUUCAAAGUCUUAUCGAAGUAUCACCUAAAUCAGAUAUGGGUGAGGCUCCAAGUAUGACCUAUCCUGAGGCAAAAUUCUUCUCUACCUAGAUACCAGACAAGUUCCAUGCUUCCAAAAUACAGGUAUAGGAUAGAUAUUCCCAUUCCAAAAGGGAGAAAUCAACAGGAAGGAAGGGGUGAUAGGUCCCAGACAAAUUCAAAACCUAGCAAGGAAAAUUCCACUAAGUCUUAAAGCUCUAGAAUAAUCCUCUCGAGGAAUGCUCUGCCUUCUGGACCCACUUGGUCAGUAGUGUCAUCCUCACUAGGCAGCAGCCUUGCCUCCUCCACUGGGGGCAGAGCCCCACCCUGUGGCUUUUUGCUGUAGCCCUGCCCCUGAGGCACUAAGCAGGGACAGCCCAGAGCCCUGAAACCAAGAGGAGGCCUACCCUCUGAAACCCAGAAAGAAAUAGUCUUGCUCUCUGGGCUGUAUGCUUUAGGCAUAUAGUGGGAAUGGCAGCCCUGAUGAUCUGUGAAUCACCUUCAGGGUCAAUCCUCUUUUCUUAAAGGAUAAAGCAUAUUCACAGCCAAAUAGCUUUAUUAUCCUGUCCUGUAGAAUCCCAGAAAUCCAAUAGCCUUCCUUUAUUUUACCCCAUCUCUGUUCCCUUUGGUCCAAACUGACAAUGUCUGUGCUGGUAUAAAUCCCAUCUCUAUUCUUGGUUUCUGCUGAGAUGGCUGAUACACUGCAUGGGUGACCUCCUUAUAGAGUGAUUUGCCAGACACACCCUAGAACAUGCACUCUUGUUUUGUGCAACAUGGAUGGGCUGAGAAUUUUGCAAAUCUUCACACUCUGGUUUGUUUUUGCUUACCAAUCCCUUCCAUUUGCCUCUCUCAUUUGCCUCAUGUUUUACUAUAAACAGCAAGGAGAAACCAGGCCACACCUUCAACACUUUGCUUAGGAAUCUCUUUAGCUAAAUUUCCAAGUUCAUCACUUGCAAUUUCUACUUUCCAUGAAACACUAGAACACGAUUUAGCCAAGUUCUUUGCUGCUUCCUGAUAAGGAUCAUCUUUCUUCCAGUUUCCAUUCCCAUGUUUUGCAUUUCCAUCUGAAGCCUCACCAGAAUCACCUUUAAUGUUCACAGUUCUACCAACAUUCUGUCCAUGAUGAUAUGUGUCUUCUCUAAAAUAAGAGAUGCUUUCUUUAAUAGCUCUUCUCAUUCCUUCCUCAGCCCUCACCAGAAUUGCCUUUAACAUUCAAUUUCUACCAACCGUCCCUUCAAGGCAACCUAGGAUUUUUUUUUUUCUAGCAUGCACCUCACAGCUUAUCCAGUCUCUCUCCCUAUUACCCAGUUCCAGAAACAAUUUCCACAUUUUUUAGGCAAACCACCGCCCUCCCCACACUUCUUUCCCCCCCCACCCCNCCCCCCCCCCCCCCCCCCCCCCCCCCACUUCUCGAUACCAGAAUCUGUAUUAGUCUGCUAGGGCUGCCAUAGCAAAAUACCACAAAUGCGGUGACUUAAACAACACAAAUUUAUUUUCUCACAGUUCUGGAAGCUGGAAGUCCACAAUCAGUGUGUCAGCAAGGUUGGUUUCUGGUGAGGUCUCUUUUUCUUGCUUGUAGACAACCCCCUUCUGCUGUGUCCUGACAUGGCUACUUCUCUGUGCGUGUGCAGAGAGCUCUGGUCUUCCUCUUCUUAUAAGGGCACUAAUCCUAGGAGAUCAGGGCCCUACCCUUAUGACUUCUUUUAACCUUUAUUACCCCCUUAUAGGCCCUGUCUCCAAAUAUAGUAACAUUGCAGGUCAGGGCUCCAACAUAUGAAUGGGUGAUGUGGGUUUGGGGGGUGGGGAGACAUAAUUUAGUUUGUAACAGGGGCUUUUACCCUAGAAGCAUGUGAGUAGAAUUCUAGUCCCAGCUCUCUGCAACAAGCUCUGUAACUUUGGGUAAGUCACUUCUUUCUGGGCCUCAGUUUCUAAACAAUGACCUGAGAAUGGUAAUGGCUGUUCCAACCCAUUUCACCCAGGAGCUAUGAGAACGCUUGACGAAAUGGUGGUGAAGGUGCUGCCCAGUGAAAAACACUGAGGUGCCAAGUCUCACUGAUUCUAUGGACAAUAUACUUGCAAAAGGUAUACAAACUCUGUACAUGAAAUUUGCUUCCAUUUGCUGGCACUCAGUGAUCAAUAUUUAACCAUCAUGGGCCCCUGACAAUUGGAAAGUAGCUCACAAAAGAAAAAGUCAAGUGGUUACUGCACUGAGCAAGUACUGAGAAAGUUCCCAAUUCUGUCUCUCAUCACCCCCUCAACUCCAUACUUAUACACAGAAACAAACAUACAAAUGACUUUUGACCCCAUGGAAGCCUUUCCAUUUAUUUGUAAAGAAUGUAUUUGUAUUUGUAAAGAAUACUACAUCUCUAUGUAAUCUUUAAAAUAUUCUUGACAUUUAACCUAGUAAUUACAUUUCUGGGAAACUAUCCUAAAAAAAUAAUCUGCAAGAUUUAUGGACUAGAAUGUUAAUAGUGGUGUUAUUUAUAAUAGUGAAAAUAUUGGAAAUAACCUAAAUAUCCAACUGUGAAGGAAUAGUUAAUAAAUUGUAGAGUAUCUAUAUGAUAGAUUAUUAUACAUUCAUUUAAAAUAGCGUUUACAAAGAGUUUAUGCUCUGAUUUUAAGUGAAAAAAAGCAGGGUCCAAAAUUACAUUUAAGUUUUAUCUCAGCUAUGUAAAUAAAAGACAUUUCUUAAAAAGACUAGAAGGAAAUGUGCCAAAAUGCUAGAGUAUUUGCCUCUAGGUGGUGAGACUAUGGGUGGAUGAAGGUUUAUUUGUUUGUUUUUUGCAUUUUAUCUUUUUUUUUUUUUUUUUUGCUUCUUCCAUUUUUUAUAAUUACAUAUUAUUUUAGUAAUGGAGGUGGACGGGUUAAAUGGUAAACACAGGAAAGGAUCACAAGAGGAAUAGUGGUUUACCCUGGUGUCUUACACAGAGAGUUUUGCAUGCUUGAUUCUCCCCUCCAAUGUUAGGGAAACUGAGGCAGAGUUAGAGCAACCGGUUCCAAAUUUUGGGAGUCCAAGUGACCCAGGUCACUGUUUCUCUGUAGCCACAGUAUACUGUCAUGUUUAGGAGGUGACCAUCAUACCAGGGUUUAAAUCCCUGUGCUACCCUUUACAACUGUGUGACCAUGGGAAAAUAAACUUUCCUAUGACUUUGUUGCCUUAUCUAUAAAGGACAGUGAUAAUGAUGGUUCCUAGAUCACAGGGCUUUUGUGAGGCUUAAAUGGUUGCUUAGAAUAACACCUCUCACGUAGUAAGCAGUCAAUAAGUGCUAGUUUUUAUUAUCCUCAUUCUACUGCUAUUAAGUACAGGGGUGAGGAGUGUAUAAUGCUUAGCUUGUGCUUUUAAUUGUGUGAUGUGUGAAGAGUCUAAUUAUAUACCGAUUCUUUAAUUAUCAAAGAUAAUGAUCGUGUUAUACUGUAAUUUUCUUUUUCUUACCCCACUCCCACUACAUUGUGAGCCUUUUGUGAAUAGGAGGUAUACCUUUUUCUUCUUUUGUCCCACCAGCAUUUAGAAGGUAUCAUAAAUGUUUAAUUAGAUAAAUUAUAAAUUAAAUAAUUAAUUGUUAUUAUUUCAUUCUGGCUCAGCACACUUCCAAGUUGCUCUUAGGAGAAUUUUCUUCACUGGCCCUUACUAUGGGAAUAAUGUUGGCCCAGUGACAACUUUGCUUUGUAAACCAUUUUUUCAGCAACUAGCUCUUUUUUUAAAGUCCAGUUUGGGUAUAAUUUACAUAAUUAAUAGUCUCCAUUUUUUUUAGUGUACAUGACUAUGAAUUUUGAUAAAUGCAUACAGUUUGAACAACCACUUCUGCAAUUAGGAUCGCCCCCAAAACUUCACUCCUGCUUCCUAUCACUCCCAACUACUAGCAAUCAUUGAUUGGCUUUCUGUCCUUUUAGCAUUACCUUUUCCAGAAUGCCACAUAAAUGGAACCAUACAGAAUUUAGCUUUUUGAGUCUGGCUUCUUUAAUUCAGCAUAAUGUAUUUAAGAUUCAUCCACGUUGUUGCAUGUAUCAAUAGUUCCCACCUUUUUAUUGUUCAGUAAUAUUACAUUGUGUGGAUAUACCACAGUUAGUUUAUCCAUUCACCUGUUGAAUGACAUUGGGUGUUUCCAGUUUUUGACAAUUAUGAAUGAAGUCACUAUAAAUAUUCAAGUUUUAUGUGAACCUAUGUUUUCAUUUCUCUAGGGUUAAUAAUUAGGAGUGAAAUUUCUAGGUCUUGUGGUUAAAUAUGUUUCACUUCAUAAGAAACUACAAAAAAGUACUUUUAAAAGUGGUUGUAUGGUGUUGCAUUCCUCCCAGCAAUACAUGAGAGUUCCAAUUGGUCCACAUCCUUGGCAGGACUUAGUAUUGUCAGUUCUUUUGAUUUUAGCCAUUUUAAUAUUUGUGUUGUUUCCCAACAACACUUUUGCAUUUCAGGUACUCUGUGAGGGGACCAGAUUAGGAUUAUUGGAUCCAUUUUGACAGAAGCAAUUAAAGCCUAAAUGGGUCUUUUACUCAAGUUCUUUGGUUAUGUUCAAGAUUUUAGUCUUUAGUUCCUUUUUUUCUCUUAGUAAUCCACAGGAGAAGCAAAUCCCUCCAACCCCUGGGAAACCCGUAAAGCUCUUGGAAUCACUCAUUCAACAGCAUUUCUUGAGCAGUUAAUUAUGUAUCUAGCAUUUGCUAGAAUCUAAAAACACAAAGAUUCUCUUUUAAAACAAUUUUUUUUUAUUAUUUUAGAAAGAGAGAGCCCAACAUGGGGCUUGAUCCCAUGAUCCUGGUAUCAUGACCUGAGCUGAACCCAAGAGUCAGACGCUCAACUAACUGAGCCACCCAGGUGCCCCUACAAAUACAAAGAUUUCUAAGACAAGGUCUCUACUGUAACAAUUAGGGUAGGGGGAGGUGAGGAAAAAGAGAGAUGGGAAUAGGAACUGACAAGUAAAUGAAAUGACAGUUACAGAGAAUGAUCAAGUUUCUUGAUGUGUCUUGGGCCUUUGAAUUCUCAACACCAGGUACUGUCCCCAGAAUUGUGGAUAAUAAUAAUAAUCACUAUCAUGUGAUGGUAGCAAGUACAGUGCCUGUAUUAUCUCAUUCAGUGCCCAUAAUAGUUCCAUAAAAGAUAUAAGGUUAAAGCAUACAGAAUUGUUGAUUUUGUAGAUCAGAAAGGGUCAAACUUUGGCAAUGUAAUAUGGUUCACCUAAUAAUAAUAGUCAUAAUUGGUUACACAAGGCAUACAGUGUAACCAGUGCAUUAUCACAUUUUAUCCUUAGGACAACUCUCUACCGUAGGUACUACUGAUAUUCCUACAGAGGAGGCAACUGAGACUGAAGGUGGUGAUGGAAGCAUGUUCAUGAAGCUGCUAGGUUGGAGACAAAGCUUGAAUUCACAACUGAAGUAUGAGGAACUUCAGAGCCACUGAAACCAUAAAGGUCUGUAACCACUAUGCUACUCUAAUAUUAUUACAGAUAAGCAAACUGAGGCUUGAAGAGGUGAAGUUGCCUGAGGUGGCUGUGGGAUCUACCAUGCCCCAAGUUCACAGGGCAUCCCAGCUUCAAACUCCUGGCCAAAUCACCUUUUUUUCCUCAUCUCCUCCUUGUCACUCUGGAAAUUGGGCUGAAUUCAGGCCAUCCUCGGAAACACAGGUGUUGCCUCCACAGCUGGCAGAACAGCUAGCAAAGAGGCUUUGAUACUUGCUUGCUCCUAAUUGACCCUAAAGGAAGUACAUCGUUUUAAAUUAACAAACUUUAUUUUUUAGCGAAGCUUUAGGUUCGCAAUAAAUUUGAACAGAAGGCAUAACGAAUUCACUACUCCCCUUCCCCACACACGCACCACCUGCCCCACUAUUGACAUCCCCCCCACCCCCCGCCAGAGUAAUAUGUUUGUUAUGGUUGAUGUUAUGAGCCUACCCUGAUAUAUCAUUAUCACCCAAAGUUCAUAGUUUACAUUAAGGUUCACUGUUAGUGUUAUACACUCUACGGGUUUUAGCAAAUGUGUAACUAUAUGUAUCCACCAUUAUAAAUACCAUACCGAAUAGUUUCACUGCCUUAAAAAUCCUCUGUGAUCUGCCUAUUCAUCUCUCACCCCAAACCCCAAACUUCCAAUCACUGAUCUUUUUACUGUCUCCAUAGUUUUGUCUUUUCUGGAGUGUCAAAUAUUUGAAAUCAUAUGAUAUGUAGCCUUUUCAGAUUGGCUUCUUUCACUGGGCAUAUAUCCAGUUAAGGUUCCUCCAUGUCUUUACAUAGCUUGAUAGCUCCUUUCUUUUUAUCACUGAAUACUAUUGUGUUGUUUUGGUUUACGGCAGUUUCUUUAUCUGAAGGACAUCUUGGUUGCUUCCCAGUUUGGGCAAUUAUGAAUAAAUAUGCUAUAUAUACCAUGUGCAGGUUUUUGUGUGGACAGACAUAAGUUUUGAAUUCAUUUGAGUUAAUAUCCAGGAGCAUGAGUGGUAGACUGUAUGUUAAGAUUAUGUUUAAUUUUUAAAAUAAAAAUAAAAAUAAAUUAAAAGGUAUGUGUAGUUUGUAAGAAACUGCCAAACUGUCUUCCAAAGUAGUUGUACCAUUUUGCAUUCUCACCAGCAAUGAAUGAGAGUUCCUGCUGCUCCACACUGUUGCCA
rnacentral:tRNA from 1 species